CAUCCAAACUGUCAUGCCAGGUCACAUCCAUAUAUUCAUCUUUUAAGUAGGCAUUUCAAAAGAAAAAUUUCACACCUUUACAAAUAAAGUUUUACGUCUCAAUAAAAUGCUUUAAAAAUUUAUACUCAGAAGAGAAUUUCCAAAUAGAAAGCAAUUUCUGGGAAUCAAUCCUCUGAACACCUUUAAAUCAAUUUGUACACAACAGUUUCAAGAUUAGAGUCCCUCUCUCUCUCUCUCAAGAAGACAGGCUAUGUUGCUACAUACAACGCAACUGUUUGUUAACAACCAUGUUAAUUGAUGAUCAGGUGUGAUGUUUUAAGCAUUUUCUAUCCAAACAUAAUAGCUUGUUAUUUAUGAUAACAUGUUACUUUAUUAUGUUUUAGGCAAUUGGUUGAAGGUUUAGGGUAGACAUGUAUCACAUAAUAUUUUUUACCACUCAAAGUGAUGAGAAAUAGGUUCCCAGGUAGCAUAUUCACACAGAACAUCUGAUUUUCAUGAACAGAUUAUUGAUAUUAAACAGGAGAUGGCUAUGUAAGGAUUCAGAUAUCUCAACACAGCAUUGGAAGCCUGAAGACAACAAAACAAUACCUUAGAAAUUCUAAAGAAACAUUAAUUCCAUCUAGACUACUAUACCCAGCCAACUCUCAAUCAAGUACAAAAAUAGAAUACUUUUUUCAGAUGUGCAAAGUACCAAAAAUUGUAUUCCACCAUCCAACAGCACAUGGAGCUACUGAAGUGUAUACCCUCCCAAAACAAAAGUAAGCUAAGAAAGAGAAAGACUUUGGGUCCAAGAAACAGGAGCUCUGAUUAAAAGAGAGAUGAAAGACAUCUCCAGACACCCCAGAUAGAAGCUAUGCUGAAGGCUGGAGAAAAAUCAGUCCACAGGGCAGCCUAUAGACACCCACCUUCCACAUACUACCCUCCACCAAAUACACCACAAACACCCAUAGGCCCAUCACACUUAAACUACACACAAUUCACACCUCACUCAUGGCAAUACACACUACACACAGGCUACAGGCUUGAUCCCCAGAGUCUGUGACUAAUGGAAAUAUUAGACAUUCUUUGUCAGGUCCCAAGUUUAAGAAAAGACUAUCUUUCUCGGUUCCAAAAUCAAAACAGACUUCUGAUGACCUUCCAAGCCAGAGGUCCCCUCCUUCAGUGGGGCAAUUCCUCAAGAGACUCUUUCUACUUCACACACACUCUGAGAGUGUCACCCCCACUUUCAGGGGUCACCUAGCCCUUCAGUCAUUCAACCAACCAUCCACAUCUCUACCUAUCCAUCCUCUGUUCAUCUGGCCAAUUGCCCAUCCAUUUAUGUGCCUAUGUGUCCACCAAUCAAUCAAGUUGACCACCUACCCUGGACUUGUCAGGGUAGUUUUCAGACCCACAAAGAGCCUUAACACAAACUCCUUUCUAGGGAGCUGCUGUUCCACCUUCAUUUCGUAUCCCUGUGAAUGAAGCAGGAGAGCUACCCCUGGAGGAGGAAGCCUGGCUCACUUUCUCUGUCCUCAGGCCCAGAGGCCUGAAUUUUUUCCCAGAAUGUUUUCUAUCCAAGGUUGGAUGAAUCCACAGAUAUGGAACCCAUGGAUAUGGAGGUUGACUAUAUACAUAUGCACACAGUCAUCCCUCGGUAUCCAUGGGGGAAUGGGUCCAGGACUCCCUACAAAU
rnacentral:lncRNA from 1 species